rnacentral:ncRNA from 1 species
UGAUAUGUUCGUAGUGCAGCGAACAGUAUAAUCAAAAAAAAAUGCACUAUAUU